AGCUAGGGGUUGCCCGCGCGGUCGUGGCAGGCUCUAACAGGCUGCAGAGAUGAGGGAAGCAGGCAGGAAGCUCAGAAGAAAGCCAAUCGAUGACCCUUAGAAGGGAGGAUGGCUGCUUUUAGACUCACCACUUCCAACUUACAACCCAAGAUAGUAUGUUCACUGAAGAAGCAAAGAUACUGCAUUUGACCUACUAGGCACCCAGGAAGUGAAUGAAUAGUCAUGCAAGUAAAACAUCAAAGACUUGAAAAAUUCUUCUAGGGGUUUUCUGUUCAGAGGUCCAAUCUUUAGGAUGUAAAAAUUAAGUAAAUAAGAAAAUUAUGUUUACAUCUUUUAAAAAUAUUUUGUAAAUUCCCAUUAAAGAUACUGUAUCUAGGGGAGUAUAUAUCAUAUCUUGCCAUCUAUGUGAAAUAAUGGGAUGGAAAGGCAUAUGUGUUUGCUUAUAUAUGAUGGACUGUUUCUGGAAUGAUUCAGAAGAAAUUGGUAACUGGGUGACACCAGGAAGAAGAACUUAGUGUGAAUCGGGAAUCAGAGGAAACUAUUUCACUGGGUGCUCUUUGGCCCUUUUGAAUUUUGAACUACAAAUGUAUUGAUUAGCUCUUCACAGUAAAAAUAAA
rnacentral:lncRNA from 1 species